rnacentral:lncRNA from 1 species
CAGAUUCCUACUAACCGUUGAUUAUCUCUCAGACCAAUUCUCAUCCGUUGGAUCAACAAGGUAACCCUAAUUAUAAAUAUCAUUUUUUAUUUCACUUAUAUUAUUCUUCUUUUCUCUCUGUCUCUCUCGCCGUACGCUUUCUUUCUCUCAAAAAAUCGAUCAAACCCUAAUUGUUCGUCUAAAAAAUUCUUGAUUCUAAACGGUUCUUUUAAUGAAUCAACUCCGAUCAAGUGAAUCUACAUCCUUUAAAUCACAAUAUUACCAUUUUUUUGAUUUUUGAUCUGUUUUGUUCUCUUAAUUUCUUGAUUUAUCUAUUACUGAUUUGCAAAACCUCUGAUAAAUCGUUGAGUUAAAAUCUGUGUUCAGAUAGAUCUGCUGGUUGUAUCGAUUUAUCCUCACUAGUUCCUCAUAUUUCCUUUAAAUCUGUCGAUUUUCAUGAUUAUCUGAUCAAAUUCUUUUCCUAUUUUUCUUCUAGAUCUACAUUUUUUUUCAAUCUCUAAUUUGUUUUAAAAAAAUAUAUGUAUGCUUCAGUUUUAGUAACAGUAACAGUAAUAAAAAU